AUUGAACGCUGGCGGCAUGCCUUACACAUGCAAGUCGAACGGUAGAGGGGGCAACCCCUCGAGAGUGGCGAACGGGUGAGUAAAGCAUCGGAACAUGCCCAGUAGUGGGGGAUAGCCCGGCGAAAGCCGGAUUAAUACCGCAUGAGACCUACGGGUGAAAGGGGGGGAUCGCAAGACCUCUCGCUAUUGGAGCGGCCGAUGUCAGAUUAGGUAGUUGGUGGGGUAAAGGCCUACCAAGCCGACGAUCUGUAGCUGGUCUGAGAGGACGACCAGCCACACUGGGACUGAGACACGGCCCAGACUCCUACGGGAGGCAGCAGUGGGGAAUUUUGGACAAUGGGCGAAAGCCUGAUCCAGCCAUGCCGCGUGCGGGAAGAAGGCCUUCGGGUUGUAAACCGCUUUUGUCAGGGAAGAAAUCCUUUGAGUUAAUACCUCGGGGGGAUGACGGUACCUGAAGAAUAAGCACCGGCUAACUACGUGCCAGCAGCCGCCGCCGUAA
rnacentral:rRNA from 1 species